UAAUACGGAGGGUGCAAGCGUUAUCCGGAUUCACUGGGUUUAAAGGGUGCGUAGGUGGGCCUGUAAGUCAGCGGUGAAAUCUCCGGGCUUAACCCGGAAACUGCCAUUGAUACUAUAGGUCUUGAAUUAUCUGGAGGUAAGCGGAAUAUGUCAUGUAGCGGUGAAAUGCUUAGAUAUGACAUAGAACACCAAUUGCGAAGGCAGCUUACUACGGAUAUAUUGACACUGAGGCACGAAAGCGUGGGGAUCAAACAGGAUUAGAUACCCUGGUAGUCCACGCCCUAAACUAUGGAUACUCGACAUUUGUGAUAUACUAUAAGUGUCUGAGCGAAAGCAUUAAGUAUCCCACCUGGGAAGUACGACCGCAAGGUUG
rnacentral:rRNA from 1 species